AGGGCUGCACCUACAGCAUAUGGAGGUUCCCAGGCUAGGGGUCUCAUCGGAGCUACAGCCUCCAGCCUACACUGCAGCCACUGCAAAGCUCAGAUCCAAGCCUCCUCUGCGACCUACACCACAGCUCACAGCAACACUGGAUCUCUUAACCCAAUGAGCGAGGCCAGGGAUCAGACCUGCAUCCUCAUGGAUACUAGUCAGAUUCAUUUCUGCUGCACCACAAAGGGAACUCCUAAAUGAUGUUUUUAAAAUUUAAUUUAAUUUUCUUUUUAGGGCUGCACCGGCAGCAUAUGGAGGUUCCCAGGAUAGAGGUUGGCCUACACCACAGCCGCAGCAACUCCGGAUCUGAGCUGCAUUUGCAACCUACACCACAGGUCACAGCAAUGCCAGAUCCUUAACCCACUGAGUGGGGUCAGGGAUUGAACCUUUGUCCUCAUGGAUACUAGGCGGGUUUGUUACCACUGAGCCACAACAGGAACUCCCAAUGACGGACUUUUUUAAGGAUUUCAGUAAUCCUGGGAUCUCCAAAAGAUCCUGAAAUUGGCACAAGAUGCUUAAGAGAAAGUCUCAGAGUUCCCUGGUGGCGUGGCACAUUGGAUCCAGCAUUGUCAUUGCUGUGGCACAGGUCCGAUUCCCGGCCCAAGAACUUCCGCAUGCUGCAGUGGCUCACCUUCCCCCCUGCCCCACAAAAAAAAAAAAGAGAAGCUUUGAAGUCACAUCAUUUUCACAGUGAUCAGAUGGAAUUUCUUACCCAUAUACUUGGGAGAUUUUAUUCUUUGCUCUCCUACAUCAAAUAAAGUACCUACUCUAAACCAAGCACUGCAAUGAUGGUGAUAAUGAGACUGCUAAUAAUAGCAGAUAUAAUUUAUUAACCACAUUAUCACAUGCCAUGCAUGUUUAAGAGCCAGCUACCUAUCUAUCUAUCCUCAUUUAAUUCUCCUUGUGAGGUAGGUACAAUCAUCAGACUGAUUUUAUAAAUAAGAAAAAGGAGACACAGAGAGGUUAAGUAACUUACCCGAAGUCACACAGUAAGUGAUACAGCUGGCACUUAAUCCCCCGGAAGUCUGGAACCACUAGACUUAAAAAGCCUUUGUACUUAAAUCUGCUAGCAUCUUAAUCCUUAAAAACCCUAUGAGUCAUUACUAUUAUCUGCAAAUUACAGACAAGGGGAAAAAAGGAAUGAAGAAAGGUCAGAUAAUUUGUAUAGCUAGUGAACUACAGGUCCAGGGGUCAGAUCCAAGUUCUGCACUCUUCACCUCUCCACACCCCUGGGUGGUUUCAUCAACCAACACAGGACCUCUAUACAGAUGGCUGUUCCCAGGACCAAAAGAGUUGACACUAGGUCCCAAGGGUACACAGGGAGGGAAGAAGGAAAAACCAUGACGGCAUGAGGAGUCUGUCAUCUGCUGCCCACGUCAUGGCUCUCAAAGAGAAAUGUAUCCUGUCCUACCCUGUUCAAAAACCUACAGAGGUGUUUAUUAUUCCCUGUCCCAUCUCCUGUGUGAUUUCACGUCUCUCUGACUUGAGUUGCCCAGUCUCAUCUCCCCUUCCCCAAGAAACCCAGCCCUCCACUUUGGCCACCCUAACCCCAACCCCACAGCACACAUCCUUCUCACUUGGACCAUGGGUCACGCCACCUCCCCGCCCCUGAACCUGCUGUUCCUCUUCUCCCAGACUUAUUUCAGACCCUAGCGGAAGACUGUCACCUUCACAAAGCCCCCUCUCCUCUGGUCCUGCCUAUGUCCCUCUGCCUCCGAACUCCUCUGCAGCUCCAAACAACUUCUUAUUCACAGCCAAGCAGUACUGUGUGCCAUUGUUUCUGCUUCCCCAACGGAAAAUUCCUUAGGGGAAGAACCCUGCCAGAUCCUCAGGAGGCACAGAUGCAGAAGGCUUUUGAGCACAGGCUUGGAAGUCAGGCUGAGGUUGGAUCCUGAUGGCCACAUACCCAACUGUCCAGUUUCUAGUUAGUGUACCUGUAAAAUGGAGGUGACAACAGUACCUACUUUACAGGGUAUUUCUAAGAAGUGAAUGAGAGAAUCCAUUUCUAAAGUGUUUUCCACAAUCCCUACCAAAAAUGCUCAAUAAAUAAUUAAUUCAACGAGAAUAUAUCUGACCCAAUGUUUGCUGAAUGUGCAACUAGAGCACAAGUAGCUCCAACUUAAUGAUGGAAAAUCACUGGAGGUUAGGGACUAUUUGUUAAAACGACACAAAAGAAGAAAAGCAAGGGGAAGCUCAAGAAAGUAAAAUAAGACAGUGGAACAGGGAAAAUAGGAUCUAAGGACUAAAUCAAAUCUGUAAAUACUUACUGGGCACUAACUAUGUAUAAGCCCUUCAAGGGGCAUAAAGAUCACGUUCAUGGGGCUUACAAUCUAGGUGAGCAGUUAAGACAACACAUAAAAUAACUAAAAAUACAAAAAGGUACAUAACUGCCAAGUGAAUGGUAUGGCCAAGGGUUCCUAGUUUUUUUCAGAGUGAUGUCUCCUUUUCACCAUCAACUACUUUCUUAAUCAUUAUGUAAUAUAAGGUAUUCCGUACAAUCUGUUGAUUACAAAAAAUACUUAACAAUAAAAAAAAAAACUACAAUGAAUUCAACAUUUUCCAGGGAAUUUGUAUUUUGUUCAUCAUGACAGCAUCUACAUGCCCUACAAAAAAAGUAGAACAGGGAGUUCCCAUUGUGGCUCAGUGGUUAAUGAAUCUGACUAGGAACCGUGAGGUUGCGGUUCGAUCCCUGGCCUCGCUCAGUGGGUUGAGGAUCCAGCGUUGCUAUGAGCUGUGGUGUAGGUUGCAGACGUGGCUUGGAUCCCGAGUUGCUGUGGCUGUGACGUAGGCUGGCAGCUACAGCUCUGAUUAGACCCCUAGCCUGGGAGCCUCCAUGUGCCGCAUGUGUGGCACUAGAAAAAAAAGACCAAAAAAAAANAAAAAAAAAAAAAAAAAAAAAAAAGUAGAACAUAUAUAUUCAAGAUGUUGUUAAUUCAAGCUAUGACGUUUUAUGAAUCUACUUAGCGCGCUCGCAAGACUGGCCAGUGGGCAGUAUACACACACACACACACACACACACACUCUCUCUUUCUCUCUCAUAUUGCCCAGAGCAUAGGGAUCACUGACAUGGAAACUUACUGACAAUCGGCAUUCAGAGGGAGUCACUGUUGUGGCUCAGCAGAUUAAGAAUCUGACUAAUACCCAUGAGGGUGCGGGUUCCAUCCCUGGCCUCGCUCAGUGAGUUAAGGGAUUCAGUGUUGCCAUGAGCUGUGGCGUGUAGAUCGCAGAUGUGGCUCAGAUCUGGCGUUGCUGUGGCUGUGGUGUAAGCUGGCAGCUGCAGAUCCGAUUUGACCCCAGCCUGGGAACUUAGACAGGCCAUGGGUGCAGCCCUAAAAAGAAAAGAGGUACAAAGUACACUUAAAUUAGCAUGGAAUGACAAAUAAGAAAACACCUAAGGAUUCAAACUACGAACUUACUAUUUUGGAUAAAUUUUUAAAUUAUUUUAUUAAUCAAAAAUCAAAGGUCUCAUGAAUAAAUGAACUGUUGCAAAAAUGACUAGUUUUGAAAAGCUUUAUACACAAAAUCUCCCCCCCUAAAAAAAAAAAAAAAAAAAAGAGUAAAAUUCAAUCAUCUUUUUAAGAACACAUCUGUCAUUUCUCUGGAACACUUUUAACAACAGUCCUUGAAAAAAAAUUCCCAUCGUGGCUCAGUGGUUAACGAACCCAACUAGCAUCCAUGAAGACUUGGGUUCGAUCCCUGGCCUCACUCAGUGGGUAAAGGAUCCAGCGUUGCCAUGAGCUGUGGUAUAGGCUGGCAGCUGAAGCUCUAAUCAGACCCCUAGACUGGAACUUAGGCUGCGAGUGUAGCCCUAAAAGACACACACACACACACACACACACACACACACACACAAAAAAAAAACAGUCCAUGGAACACAGUUUAGGAAGCACUGCCUCAAGGUGGAGUGGAUGCUGAAAUAGAGGACAAGAUAAAUAGGAACAAGGAAGAUACAAUAACUAAAAACAUUUAUUCUACAUUUUUGUGAAUCCUGACAAAUUAUAUGGCUUGGACAGUUGGACUUGGUACCUCUUCCCACCAUGUCCAAUUUAAGGACUAUGAAAACAACUAUAUGUGUCAGGAAUAUUACAGGUAUCAGGCAAUAAGACUCCUUGGGAGAGAGGAAGGGACAUAGGAGAAGGCAGUGGUGGAAAAUUAUCAAAUUAUGCUUCUGCCUUUGAACUUUUUUUAAAAUUUGGAUUCUUAACAAAAGUAUGUAUUUUAGUGUAGAAAUUAGAAGCUUUUUCAGAAAUGAAAACUAAAGCUUAAAAACAAGUAAGGUGGAGUUCCCAUUGUGGCUUGGUGGGUUAAAAACCUGACAUGGUGUCCCUGAGGAUGGGGGUUCAAUCCCUGGACUCGCUCAGUAGGUUAAGGAUCUGGUGUUGCCACAAGCUGAAGCAUAGGUCACAGAUGCAGCUCAGAUCUGGCACUGCCAUGGCUGUGAUACAGGCCUCAGUUACAGCCCUGAUUUGACUCCUAGCCUGGGAACUUCCAUAUGCUGCAAGUGCAGCCCCCAAAAAAUAAAUAAAUAAAAAUUUUAAAAAUAAGACAACAUGCCACUGGUGGGCUCUGCCGGUUAACUGCUCCUUGAGGACAAAGAACUUGGCGCAACUCUGUCCAACAAGAAGCAGGAGAACCUGACCCCUUCUCCUGGAAGGCAGCCAGAGAUGCCCAAGGCUGGAGGUGGGGCAGGGACACCAAAGGCCCCAAGACUCUCCUACGCAGCCUCCUGGCUGCCAAGCAGCAGUGGAAGGCAGACCCAGUGCAGAGAAGAGGACCAAAGGAAAGUCUGAUUAAUAAUUAUACAAGUUUACACAGCACCUCUUUCUUUCCUGAUGAGUUCGAGGUGUUUUGGAGACAUUACUUCACCAGGUCCUUCAGGAUCUUUAUUUAAACAUUUUCACAGCAAGUCACAGUCUCCAGCCCACUUUAAAAGAGUAGGGAAAGCACACAUACCCACACCAAUUUGCUCAUGGGACUCAGUAGAGAGCAGAGGCUCAAAGCCCACCUUCUCCUCCCUGUUCUGGUCAGUAGCACAGGCUACUUCUCCAAAAUGACUGAAAGUUUAGGAAAAACUGAGUAUCCCAAAGGCACCCAAAUUAAGUGUCCAGGGUUACACAGAAGAAAAUAAUAGUCCUGCCUCACCCAUAACACAGAACAAGAGUUCAAGUUGCCUUAAAUCAUUCCUAAAAUGAGCCAUAACAAGAAAAAAGGAGGGAAGGACAUGGGAGGAAGGAGGAAAGGAAAGCUCGAGCAUUUUGCCUCAAUCAAAGCAGUUUCCAUUUUUAUGUCAAGAGAGGGGCAUCACAUGGAUCCAUAAGGCCUGGCUACUGCAAGCCAACUGGAGCAAUAUAAUCUGUGGAUAAAUUACUAGUCACUUUAUAUUUCUACAUACGAUACAUUCUACACCUC
rnacentral:lncRNA from 1 species